UCUAAGUGGAGUAUUAUAAAGCGAAACUGCGAACGGCUCAUUACAACAGAUAUAAUUUACUAGUUCUUGUUUCUAUAUGGAUAACUGCGGUAAUUCUGGAGCCAAUACAUGCAUCAAGCGUCUGCCUUCGGGUUAGGCGUGCUGUUAUUGGAGCAAAACCAGUCUUGUACUGUUUGCUAACUCAGAAUAAUUCUGCAUAUCGCAUGGUCUUGUACCGGCGAAGUUUCUUUCAAGUAUCUGCUUUAUCAACUAUCGUUGGUAGUUUAUUGGGCUACCAUGGUGUUGACGGGUAACGGAGAAUCAGGGUUUGACUCCGGAGAGGGAGCCUUAGAAACGGCUACCAUGUCUAAGGAUAGCAGCAGGCGCGAAAAUUACCCAAUAUCAAAACGAUGAGGUAGUGACGAGAAAUAACGAGAUCGUUCUCAUUGAGAUCGAUUAUUGGAAUGAGUACAAUCCAGAAAUUUUAACGAGUACCUACGAGAGGGCAAGUCUGGUGCCAGCAGCCGCGGUAAUUCCAGCUCUCGUAAUGUAUAGAAUUAUUGUUGCGAUUAAAAAGUUCGUAGUUGGAUUGCAACGCAGGCAUGGGUCCAUCCACGUGAUGUGUACUCAAUGUUUGCAUUUUGCAGGUUUUUGCGUUGUUGACUUGUCAGCUUCGUGAUGCCUGCAGGAUUACUUUGAACGGCUCAAGUGCUUAAAGCAAGUCUUAUGACUGAAUACCGGUGCAUGGAAUAAUGGAACAAGGUUGCGGCUGAGUUUUAUUGGUUUUGUCGGCUGAAACAAUGGUUAACAGGAACAGCCGGGGGCAUUCGUAUCGCUGCGCGAGAGGUGAAAUUCGUGGACCGUAGCGAGACGACCGACAGCGAAGGCAUUUGCCAAGAGUGUUUUCAUUAAUCAAGAACGAAAGUCAGAGGUUCGAAGGCGAUUAGAUACCGCUCUAGUUCUGACCGUAAACGAUGCCAACUGUCGAUCCGCUUGUGGAUUUUAUUCAUGAGCGGGGAGAUUUCCGGAAACGAAAGUUUUUCGGUUUCGGGGGAAGUAUGGUUGCAAAGCUGAAACUUAAAGGAAUUGACGGAAGGGCACCACCAGGAGUGGAGCUUGCGGCUUAAUUUGACUCAACACGGGAAAUCUCACCCGGCCAGUACAUCGUAAGGAUUGACAGAUUGAAAGCUCUUUCAUGAUUCGGUGAAUGGUGGUGCAUGGCCGUUCUUAGUUCGUGGAUUGAUUUGUCUGGUUUAUUCCGAUAACGAACGAGACUUUAACUAUUAAAUAGUGCACUUGUUUUUUUGCGAGUGAUCACUUCUUAAAGGAAUUUGUGGUUUUUAGCCAAAAGAAAUUGAGCAAUAACAGGUCUGUGAUGCCCUUAGAUGUUCGGGGCCGCACGCGUGCUACAAUGAUGGUAACAGCGUGAUUGUCCUUUUCCGACAGGAAUUGGCAAACAGUUGAGAUAUUAUUAUGGCUGGAAUUGAGUGUUGAAAUUUUCCCUCAUGAACGAGGAAUUCCAAGUAAAUGUGAGUCAUUAACUUGCAUUGAUUACGUCCCUGCCCUUUGUACACACCGCCCGUCGCUGCCCGGGACUGAGUUACUUCGAGAAAACUAGGGAUUGUUGUAGUUUAUGUUUCGGCAUUGUCUAUGAUGCAAACUAGUUUAAUCGCAGUGGCUUGAACCGGGCAAAAGUCGUAACAAGGUAGCCGUAGGUGAACCUUCGGCUGGAUCAUUAUCGAUUCAAAAUAUAACCUUGUAAACUUAACUGCUUUUUGCAGAGUGUAUUUAUUGUACACUUAUUCAAGUUUAAUAGCUUGCUGUUAUUCUUGUAGACUUUUGGUCGUAUUUAUUAUGACUAACGGCUUGGAUUGGUUUCUGUGGAAGGUUGAGCAGUUGUGUUAAACGACCGUGACUGCGUAUGAUGCCGACCGGUAACUGGGCGCUUCGGCUGACCAGUGAGAAUUAAUGACUCCGAGAGAGCACCAAUCAAACAACUAUUUUAUUAUUUUAUUUUUCGAUUACAUAUUUUAAGUUACUUCGGUGGAUCACUUGGUUCACGGGUCGAUGAAAAACGCAGUGAAUUGCGAUAACAAGUACGAAUUACAGAUAUUAUGAGUGCCAUGUUUUUGAAUGCAUAUUGCGCCGUUGGGUUUUGCUCUUCGGCAUAUGUGAUUCAGGGUAUGUUUUAUACAACACAACAGUUUGCUUGAUAUUGCUUCGGCUUUUUUGUUUACAAACUGUAUUGAUAUAAGCAUCGUGUUUCAUUUAUAAUGUGCAUGUUGUUUAAAUGUUUUUGAGUUAUACUCAAACGUUAUUGAAUUUACUGUAUAAUGUCUUUAAAGACUUUUACGUUUUACAUAUCGUUUAUUUAAACGUUUAGUUAAGUAUACUGGCUUUUGUUUUUUAUACUUAUAACUUUACGUUUAUUUAAUCGAGUGACAAUUGUCAGGUUAAACGACAGUUAUAUUCUUUAGUUAAACUACCUGAGUUGCGUAUGAUUACCUGCUGAACUUAAGCAUAUCAGUAAGCAGAGGAAAAGAAACAAACAUGGAUUC
rnacentral:rRNA from 1 species